GCCCCUAGAGCAAAGUAAAUCCCUAUAACAAAGAGGCUUCCAUGAAUGCAGCGUAUUGUGAGCACAGUGCCUGACUUUGCUGGAAAAGCAAUGAUAGAUUGUUUUAUCCUGUGAUUAUUCCGCCACCAUGAACCAGUGCAGCUGUGGAACAGAGUCCCUUUCACAUCCUUCUGAAUGAAACUGCUUGGAAACAAAACAUAUGGAGCAUAGAUGCUUAAGGCAAAGGAACAUCUUUCUCUCCAGUUGGAUCCAUUCAACAUUUACUAAUGUUUAAUUUUAGGCAAACCCAUGGAAGGCAUUGGUGGGUAGAGCAGGAGGGUUGAGUGAGGACGAGGGGCCACAGGCUGAAUCCAACACCGUGCCUGGAGGCAAGCGGCUUGAGUGCAUGUAAGUUUACAGACCUACGGGAGGCUCCUAGCAGUGCCUGGUUCUUCAUGGGGCUCGGCAAAUUUUAAUAGACAUGUACUGGAAUAGGGACAUGUUUGAUUCACUGAGGAGACCCAAAGGAAGGUUCUGGGCCACACAGGGUCAGCAGCCCCAGAAGCAAGGUAUACAAUGACGUUGGCAUGCAAGAGGAAGAUAGAUGCCUCCAGUCAAGGUGGGAACAAAGGGUCCAGGCCCCUUCCUGUCUUCCAUUCUGAGUUCCACAGGCUGUCACAGCCAGGGACAGAGAAAUACAUCAGAAAACCUAACUGUGGACAAGCACGAUCGCCCCCCAGGUGUCCAUGACCGGCCUGCCGGUUCAUUACCAUGUUGAUAAUACCCGGAGCCCCAAAGCCCAGGGGUCACUCUGCCAGUGAGUGUAGUUUGUGGAAAAGCAGCCAUAGAGGAUUCCAGACAGAAUGAGGGUGUCUCAGGGAAGGACAAGAAGGGUGGGGUCCCAGGAUGCACUGAGGCCCCCUGGCAGAUCCACUGCACAACUGACAGGAAACUGAGAUGGGACAGGGGUGUGAGGGGAUUUCCUGCAGCUCCUCAGCAAGUCAGGAAAGGAUCCAGGCCCCAGUGCUGAAGCCAGCCCAGUGCAUGGCCUCCCAGUCCUGCGAAUGGCUGGUGGCCUAAGGCAGGCUCCCUCCAGGAGGCGCAGGUUGGUGGGGUCCACAUGUGGCCAGCGAUGUGCUUGGUACCAGUAGGUCAGAGGUGCCAAUUCUGGCCUUUUCCGGUCAUCUCCUCCACUUUCCUGGACAGCUCCUUGACUAAGGCCUGCACCUUCAGGAGGCUUCUUCCUCCCAGUGGCCUGUCCUCGCCACCCAGCACUGACAGAUCACCCUCCAUUUGCUGAAUUCAUUUCAACGAUAUUUCAAGUUGACUGAAUCCAAUUUUAACUGAAUUUGAUUAAAAAAAAAAAAA
rnacentral:lncRNA from 1 species